CAGACAGAAGUUAAACAAGUUUGCCUUAAGAAGGCUAGCACAAACUGGGAUACAGAUCGAAAGAGGCUCAGGCCUCCUGCCUGGGAUCCUCCUAACUACUCCUGGUCGUCGUCUGCGGGCUGCACGUAGUAGUAGGCACCUCCGGUGUAGUAGGGGUCGUCUUUGACGGUGGCGUCUGGCUCCAGGGCUCCAGCAUCUGGUUGCGACAACCAGGUAGAAGGGAAAGGGGAAAAGAGGGAGAAAAGCAACCGUGAGUACUCAUCCAAAGUACUCGCAAGCAAGGAGCUACCAUACAUAUGCAUGGGUAUAUGUGUAAAAGGCCAUAUCGGUGGACUGAACUGCAGAAUGCCAGAAUAAAAGGGGGAUAGCUAAUCCUGUCGAAGACUACGCUUAUGGCAGCCUCCGUCUUUCAGCAUGUAGAAGAGAGUAGAUUGUAGUCCUCCAAGUAGUAUCUCCAAGUAGCAUCUUCAAGUAGCAUCUCCAGUCGCAUCGCAUAGCAUAAUCCUACCCGGCGAUCCUCUCCUCGUCGCCCUGUAGAAAAGCGAUCACCGGGUUGUCUGUGGAACUUGGAAGGGUGUGUUUUAUUAAGUAUCCGGUUCUAGUUGUCAUAAGGUCAAGGUACAACUCCAAGUCGUCAUGUUACCGAAGAUCACGGCUAUUCGAAUAGAUUAACUUCCCUGUAGGGGUGCACCAACUUACCCAGCACGCUUGAUCCCAUUUGGCCGGACACACUUUCCUGGGUCAUGCCCGGCCGCGGAAGAUCAACACGUCGCAGCCCCACCUAGGCAAAACAGAGAGGCCAGCACGCCGGUCUAAACCUAAGCGCACAGGGGUCUGGGCCCAUCGCCCAUAGCACACCUGCACGUUGCAAGGGCGGCCGGAAGCAGACCUAGCCUAGCAGGCGUUCCAGUCCAAUCCGGCGCGCGCCGCUCCGUCGCUGACGUCUGAAGUGCUUCGGCUGAUACCACGACGUCGGGAUACCCAUAACUACUCCCGCGUAGAUGGUUAGUGCGUAUAGGCUCGUAGCCAACUCAGAUCAAAUACCAAGAUCUCGUUAAGCGUGUUAAGUAUCCGCGAACGCCGAACAGGGCCAGGCCCACCUCUCUCCUAGGCGGUCUCAACCUGCCUUGUCGCUCCGCCUCAAAGAUCCACUCGCGGGUGCUCCACCAGCCGACCCGACUUUAGUCACCAUCUGUAUAGUAUGUAUGUAUGUAUAGUAUAUACCCGUGAUCACCUCCCGAGUGAUCACGGCCCAAUAGUAUAGCAAGGCAGACUGACAAGAAUGUAGGGCCAAUGAUGAUAAACUAGCAUCCUAUACUAAGCAUUUAGGAUUGCAGGUAAGGUAUCAACAGAUGUAGCAAAAAUGUCAGGCUAUGCAUCAGAAUAGGAUCAACGGAAAGCAGUAACAGGCUACAAUACUCUAAUGCAAGCAGUAUAGAAGAGAAUAGGCGAUAUCUGGUGAUCAAGGGGGGGGCUUGCCUGGUUGCUCUGGCAAGAGAGAGGGGUCGUCGUCGAUGUAGUCGUACUCGGUGGCAUCAGCGCCGGUCUCGGGGUCUACCGCGAAAGAAGAGGGGGGAAGAAACAGUAAAUACAGAGCCAACAAAGUAUCACAAACAAAACGAGGCAAUACGCGGUGCUAGGUGCGCCCGAACGCGGUAGUAGGUGAUACCGACGAAGGGGAAAGCAUCCGGGAAAGUAUUCCCAGUGUUUCGCGUUUUCGGGCAGAGGAGCCGGAGGGGGAAAGUUGCGAGUUCGAUAGGUUAGGGGGUGUGGCGGACGAACGGACUGCGUAUCCGGAUGCGUCUCGUCGUUCUGAGCAACUUUCAUGUAGAAAGUAUUUUCAUCCGAGUUACGGAUUAAAAGAUAUGAUUUUCUAAAGAUUUAAAUCAUUUUCUGAUUUUUAUUUAAUUCAUUUAAAUCAACAUUAUCCAAAACAGUGUUUGCUGACGUCAGCAUGACGUCAGCAGUCAACAGAGGUGUUGACUGGUCAACUGACGUGUGGGUCCCGCAUGUCAUUGACUGUUAACUAUCCUAACAGAUUAAUUAACUAAACUAGGUGAUUAGGUUAAUCUAAUCAGGAUCAAUUAAGUUAAUUAAUUAUUUAAUUAAUUAACUAUUUAAUUAUUAAUUAUUUAUUUACUUCUUUUAUUAAAUCUUUUUUAAUCUUUUUUUAAUUUGCGUUCUGAGGGGUGGGGCCCCCUAGUCAGUGACCUAGAGGGCCAUCGCAGGGCGGUUGCUAGCGGGCGCUAGGGCGCUAGCCCAUCUGGGUUACAGGCUUUGCCUGUGCGGGCGCAGCGCUGGUGGGGCGCCGGCGGCCAAGUGCCCAGCCGGAGGCGCCGACCGGACCGGCGAGCGGGAGGCGCAGUGGCCGCAAUGGGGGGGCACUGCGGCAGUGGCCGCUCGGGGCAUAGAGGGAGCAGGGCGGCAUCGGAGCGGUGACAGUGGGCGUGAGGUGAGCGCGGACACGACGUUGGCGGCCUGGGAGGCACGGGGGAAAACGUGGUCAGGCCGGUGCGGCGGCGAUCGGAGAAAGCCCCGGCGGCGACGAGCGGGGAGGGGGAACAAGGCGUGCGCGAAUCAGGCGCGUUCGGGGUUGGCGUCCGUGGGGAGGAACGGGGCGGCGCGGGCGAGACAGGGCCGCGGUGAUGCGGUGGCUGGCCGGGACGGGGAUGCAGGCGUAGAGAGGCGUCGGGGGUGACCGCGGGCACGGUCAGUGCGGCGACCACGGGCGUAGGGAGUAGAGGGGAGUGGAGAGGGGCGAGGCCUCAUAGGGGUUCGUAGGGUCCAUGGCAACGGGGCGCGAGGAGGAGGUGGAGACGACGCGUCGGAGGAGGCAGACCGGUGGGGUGGAGGAAGCAGGCCGGUGAGGUAGUCCGACGUGGUCGUCCGGCGGCUCGGGCUCCAGGCGGCGUCAGCGAGGCAACGAGGCGAUGGGGUUGGGGCAGCGAUGAGGCGCGGCCGCGGCUUCAGGUGGGUGUCGCGCGAGGAGAGGAGGGCGAGGAGGCAACGACGACGGCAGGCGUCAGCGAUCCGGGGCGGUGGCAUCGAUAGGGUCGGGUGCGUGGUCGCCCCGAUCUCGAUCUAGAUCGGGGAAGUGAGGGAGAGUGNNNNNNNNNNNNNNNNNNNNNNNNNNNNNNNNNNNNNNNNNNNNNNNNNNNNNNNNNNNNNNNNNNNNNNNNNNNNNNNNNNNNNNNNNNNNNNNNNNNNNNNNNNNNNNNNNNNNNNNNNNNNNNNNNNNNNNNNNNNNNNNNNNNNNNNNNNNNNNNNNNNNNNNNNNNNNNNNNNNNNNNNNNNNNNNNNNNNNNNNNNNNNNNNNNNNNNNNNNNNNNNNNNNNNNNNNNNNNNNNNNNNNNNNNNNNNNNNNNNNNNNNNNNNNNNNNNNNNNNNNNNNNNNNNNNNNNNNNNNNNNNNNNNNNNNNNNNNNNNNNNNNNNNNNNGGGGGGGGGGUUUGCUUUCUCUUUUUUUAGCUUUGUUUUCUGUUUUCUUUUCUUUAUCUAUUUUCUUUUAAUUUCUGUUUUAUAAAAUAUAAAUACAACUCCUAAUUUAAUGUUAUAAUUUAUUCUACUGCCCCAAAAGUUUGACACCUAAUUAAAAUAGUUUGCAUUAUUAUUAUUUUUAAAAGGCAUUUAAUUAAUUGUCAUAGCUGCUAUUUUAAUUAGUUUAGAGCCUUUAAACAUUUUAUAAAAUUUGUGGUUUCUCUACUAGUAUUACCCAUGAUUUAUUUGACACAUUUUGGACAUUUUAGUUUUAAUGUUUGAAAACUUUUGUUGUUCGCCUAAAUCCAAAUUUGAUUUUGAAAUGUUUUGAUCUAACAUGUGUUUAGCAAUAGUGUCAAGGGUGACAAGGCAUCAUUAGCAGGGUUUUACUGUAGCCUAACUAUCUGGGCGUCACAAUUCUCCUCCACUAAAAGAAAUCUCGUCCCGAGAUUUAGGAGCGGGAGUAAGGGGGAAGGGAUCUGGUUACGAAAUUCUAACGGAACAUCUCGGCUUUGGUUGCUCUUCUCGAAGAGGUCGAUCCCUUACAUUGACGUCUUCAUUACUCUGCUUCAGGUCAUCAUGAUGAAGUUGUCGUCCUUCCUUGGGGAUCUUCAUCGUACUUGCGGAAAGGAUAAGGGGUAGCUUCAAAAGGACAUACCUCUACAAGGUUGACUAUCUGGUCGAUAACAUCGAGGAAGGUGGCGGAAGUUACUCUUGAAUUGAAUCUUAAGAAAAUAUCGAGAGCAAAGUAAGGAGGUAUCAUGAGAAGUUUCAAACGGAUAGGCAAGCAUUCGAUGCCUAAUCAGAAGGUGAAAGGGGUUCAGGGCAACGAGAAUAAGUGUUGCGUCUGAUACCAAAAUAGAUCACUUGGGACGGUGGUCCGUGAAUUACAUACGAGUCCACGCGCGAGGAAUAACUUUGGGAACAGGGGUUGUGCAGGAGAGUCAGGUUUCGAUCUUGUGGAACUGUGGGUUAUGGGCCCACCAUGUGGUUGAAAGUAGGAAGGGGGCCGACAUCUUGCACGUUCACGAUAGUAAGGCGUGUCAGAGGGUAGCCUAUCAGUUAUGUCGGCAACAACAUCGAUACCAAGGGCGAGGGACGAAGAGAACCAUUUUUCUGCUCGUUGAAAGAGGCGGGCCAAUAGGCAAGGUUCUCGUCCAUCGGUGGCUACCGGAAUGUCAUCAACAAUAGUAACAGGGUCUUACUGACAGAGCGGUACCACGAGGUGUUUACAUAAGCAGGAGAAUAUUACUGCUUAGGUUAUAUAGAUCACAAGAAAGGUUAAAUCAAACAAUGGAAAGGAAAAUAUGAGUAUCAGAUUAAACAGAACAAUGGAAAGGAAAAUGUGUUAAAACACAUAUUUCGGGGUAUUUCCUUCGCAAGGACAAACAGAGCAUGAUAUCCAUGACAGGAUAGAAAGUAGAAAACCAUUUAUGUAAGGGGAGAGGAAUUUCAUGACAUUACCCAUAUGGCGGUGUUUGGAUAAUUGAGCAGGAAACAUUUAGCAUUGGGCUUCAAAUGUUCUUGUUGAAAAUCGGAGUACCAUUGACAUGCUUCGAGGUAGCAUUGACAUGGUCUUCAGGUGAAGAUCAAACUUUGGAAACACGAAGGAUCCAUCAAGAAUAACUUGUAGAAUAAGUCUUACAAUUUCCCCAUGGAUGAACGGAUAACCUAGCUGAAAAGGAAUCUAUAAUGAUAGGUCCUCCAGCCGAGGGGGGGGGUGCUAGGCAUGACAUCAUGUUACCGGGUCAUCAAAGGAUCAACAUCAUAACUCUUGGAAAAUGUCCCAACCAUCAUAUCCGACCAAGAUUCAGAUCCGAUUGGUGUCAUGAUACCCCAGACUCAGGAUGUCCGAGAAGAAAAACUGCGGUACAUAUCGAUGAAAUGACAUGGUAAGAUUCUCAGGAAAUGAACUAUGGGAGCGGGUUCCUGAAACAAUAGUUCAUCAUUAAACCAAGGAGAGGACAAGGAGGUGUCUGGUGAACUCAACGGCAAUUCACCGAGAUUCCCAAAAGAUGGAUUUCCACCAUUAAGUGAACAAGGAGAUAACAUUUGUCAGAUCAAAUGAUAUAAGGAAGUAUGCUCGAGGAAAACAUACACAAUUAAACAUUGGUUGAAGGGUGCGCCUGAAAUGUGGAUUGGGUUGCACAACCAAUGUCAGAAUGGUGAUUCAAUUAGUGAAGGACUUAGAAUGAACUAUCGCCCAUUCACUUCAAAGCAAUAGGGUUGCUAGAAGUUUGGAAUUCACACGUCAUAGCUCCAUUGUCGGUAUUCCAGUUGAAAACAAUACGGGGACCAAGGAAUGAACGAAGAUGGCAAGAAGUAUUAUGAUAUCAAGAAUUAUUAAGAGGUGGUGAAAUUCUCACCACAUUCUUGACAAAAAGAGAUGGUAAUACUUCCGAGGUAAGGAAGAUCAACUGCUGGGUAGUAGUGAUCUCAAGGUUUACACAAAACACGAACAAGUUGUGUUGAACGGAAGGCAAUAAAGUGGUCGAUGAGAACAGGAAUCAUCGAGGGGCAAGGAUGGUAUUACCCAUCAUGAAUUCAAUUGAAUUCCUGGAAGAGCUCAUAAGGUUGAUGAUGAUCACGACACAAUUGUCGAGAGAUUUCAUGCAGAUGUAGUCAACCAGCGACGACAUCAAGUCAAAGGAAUGAUGAAGCAAGAGGUUAUUGGAACCACAGUUACGACACAAACUCGAACUCAAGCUUGUUGUUUAAGGUGAAAGGGUAUGACGAGGAAAAUCGACGUAAGGUUAGUUCAUCGUCGAAAAUUGGUGCUCCGAGAUAAGGACCAGGUAGCACCGUUAGAAUCGUCACGACAAUGAUAUAGCCAAACAGGCUAGGAAUGGCGUGAUCGGGUACAAACUCGUACUUAUAGAAGCUUACUGAAGAGUUGUUGAACCGUAGAGCAGACUCGGUUCAGUUAUCGGUGUCUUUGAGUGUUCAGUAACACAGAGCCCGCGAAAAAUUGGAAUCAGUGGGAAGGUAGCACUUGAUGAAGAACUCAUAAAAAGUUAUGCAGUUCCAUGAUAAUCUCGAGAUACCAGGGGGGUAAUACCCGACACAAGAUCAAAGUAAGGUUGGACUGGUGUAUUGAUCCAUAGAAGACAAUUGUUUUAACUUGUCUGAGAAAUGAGAUCAAAGAAGAACAAUCAUGGUCGGAACCAUGGUUGCAAGGGAUCAAUUCACAGAUACCAUAGGUUAGUUAUCAAGGAAAUAGUUAUUGUUACAAGAAGCUUUCAUGAUAGGAUAUAUAUCGCGUCCAUGGGCAUGAGCACAAGGUUCAAGGUCGACUCCCACUUCUCCAAUGCAUAUCCUUUCAUUCACCUCUCGUAUUUCGAAGAUGACAUUAGUUGUUGAAAGUUUUACCUGGUGCAAUACCAAAUAAGUAUGACUCGUGAAAACUUUCGGGUUCACACAAUUUAGAGAAGGCAUAUGUUCAACCCAUAGGGGCUUCUUAGAAACAUAUACCACAAGUUUCAAGAGUAAUUAACACAAGCCCGAAAGCAGAGCAUGGUUGGCCAAGCAGAGGAUGCAACUUAACAAAGGCAUUACGUAUCAGGGGAAGAACUCACAAGGUGAUCAAAUGUGUAGGACACUGUCGGAUAACAAUCCAACAAAGGACUUGAUGGUCCACAAAGGAUCUGAUACGAGUAUCGGUACUCAACUAGAGGAAGAAGAAUGCAAGGAGAUCAGAUUAUAGAAACAACUGACUAACUCAAUUGUCAAAUGCAAAGGAAUUAUGAUUUCCAAAUCAAGGGAUCAGAAGCAAUGCUCUGAUUAGGGAUGGGUAAGUUGAAUAGCCUUAGGGUACAAUCAACGACAAUUGGAUUGGUCGAGAACCAAUUCCAGUUAAAAGAAUGGAAGCUCAGCCGGAAAGGUAAUUUAUAAGGAUCAAUGAUGAUUGCGUGUAUUCGCAACAUAUUGAGUCAACAGACUCAAAAUGAUAAUGACAAGGAAUGUCAAUAAGAUUUCUAUACUUAUGGGAUUAAUCAUAAUGAAAGCAAACAAGAAAUUCCAGAGCAAUAGGUUGCUGAGGAUUUUCGGAAUAUCGGGUGGUAUUUCAAAGACUUUUGUGUAACACAUGAACAACUGGGGGAUGAGCGGAUACUCGAUAAGUGCAAGAAUUUACCAUAGGGGUAUUCAUGCAGCAAGGAACUGCAGGGCAGUAAGCGUAAAGAAUUGUCGGAAUAUCGAAGAUUAUUUCAGGACAUCUUGUAAUAACAAGAGCAACUGGGGAUGACAAUAUGAACGAUAGGUGUAAGUAGUUAUCCAGAGGGAUUUAUCGAUGGAAGUGAAUUGCAAAAGCGAUGGCACAUAGUCUCGAGAGCACAUCGUAGAGUAUCUUCGGAAUCUUCUGGCGCAGUCGGUGAUCAUCCGGACUGAAGGGCCUCUCCGGUUGAAAGUAUUUUCGAGAACCUAAAGUUAGAUUUUAGUAAAAAUCGUUUAACCCGAAUAGAAGAGCGUUCAGAAUCCCAGAGUAAAGGUCGAGGAGUAAAAGAUCCUAAUACCACCCAAUGGCGACGUGGGCCCAUAAGGCACACAGCCAAGUUAGUAAAAGUUUUUGCAAUGUCUAGACUCGACUUCGGCCAAGGAGUUGGAAGGGGGAUUCCUACAGACAGUUGGCUCUGAUACCAACUUGUGAUGCCCCCGAUUCAAUCGUAGACUAAUCAUGCACGCAAACGUGUACGAUCAAGAUCAGGGACUCACGGGAAGAUAUCACAACACAACUCUAAAACAUAAAUAAGUCAUACAGGCAUCAUAAUACAAGCCAGGGGCCUCGAGGGCUCGAAUACAAGUGCUCGAUCAUAGACGAGUCAGCGGAAGCAACAAUAUCUGAGUACAGACAGAAGUUAAACAAGUUUGCCUUAAGAAGGCUAGCACAAACUGGGAUACAGAUCGAAAGAGGCGCAUGCCUCCUGCCUGGGAUCCUCCUAACUACUCCUGGUCGUCGUCAGCGGGCUGCACGUAGUAGUAGGCACCUCCGGUGUAGUAGGGGUCAUCGUCGACGGUGGCGUCUGGCUCCAGGGCUCCAGCAUCUGGUUGCGCCAACCAGGUAGAAGGGAAAGGGGAAAAGAGGGAGAAAAGCAACCGUGAGUACUCAUCCAAAGUACUCGCAAGCGAGGAGCUACCCUACAUAUGCAUGGGUAUAUGUGUAAAAGGCCAUAUCGGUGGACUGAACUGUAGAAUGCCAGAAUAAAAGGGGGAUAGCUAAUCCUGUCGAAGACUACGCUUCUGGCAGCCUCCGUCUUGCAGCAUGUAGAAGAGAGUAGAUUGUAGUCCUCCAAGUAGUAUCUCCAAGUAUCAUCUUCAAGUAGCAUCUCCAGUCGCAUCGCAUAGCAUAAUCCUACCCGGCGAUCCUCUCCUUGUCGCCCUGUAGAAAAGCGAUCACCGGGUUGUCUGUGGAACUUGGAAGGGUGUGUUUUAUUAAGUAUCCGGUUCUAGUUGUCAUAAGGUCAAGGUACAACUCCAAGUCGUCCUGUUACCGAAGAUCACGGCUAUUUGAAUAGAUUAACUUCCCUGCAGGGGUGCACCAACUUACCCAGCACGCUUGAUCCCAUUUGGCCGGACACACUUUCCUGGGUCAUGCCCGGCCGCGGAAGAUCAACACGUCGCAGCCCCACCUAGGCAAAAUAGAGAGGCCAGCACGCCGGUCUAAACCUAAGCGCACAGGGGUCUGGGCCCAUCGCCCAUAGCACACCUGCACGUUGCGAGGGCGGCCGGAAGCAGACCUAGCCUAGCAGGCGUUCCAGUCCAAUCCGGCGCGCGCCGCUCCAUCGCUGACGUCUGAAGUGCUUCAGCUGAUACCACGACGUCGGGAUACCCAUAACUACUCCCGCGUAGAUGGUUAGUGCGUAUAGGCUCGUGGCCAACUCAGAUCAAAUACCAAGAUCUCGUUAAGCGUGUUAAGUAUCCGCGAAUGCCAAACAGGGCCAGGCCCACCUCUCUCCUAGGCGGUCUCAACCUGCCUUGUCGCUCCGCCUCAAAGAUCCACUCGCGGGUGCUCCACCAGCCGACCCGACUUUAGUCACCAUCUGUAUAGUAUGUAUGUAUGUAUAGUAUAUACCCGUGAUCACCUCCCGAGUGAUCACGGCCCAAUAGUAUAGCAAGGCAGACUGACAAGAAUGUAGGGCCAAUGAUGAUAAACUAGCAUCCUAUACUAAGCAUUUAGGAUUGCAGGUAAGGUAUCAACAGAUGUAGCAACAAUGUCAGGCUAUGCAUCAGAAUAGGAUCAACGGAAAGCAGUAACAGGCUACACUACUCUAAUGCAAGCAGUAUAGAAGAGAAUAGGUGAUAUCUGGUGAUCAAGGGGGGGGGGGCUUGCCUGGUUGCUCUGGCAAGAGAGAGGGGUCGUCGUCGAUGUAGUCGUACUCGGUGGCAUCAGCGCCGGUCUCGGGGUCUACCGGGGAAGAAGAGGGGGGAAGAAACAGUAAAUACAGAGCCAACAAAGUAUCACAAACAAAACGAGGCAAUACACGGUGCUAGGUGUGCCCGAACGCGGUAGUAGGUGAUACCGACGAAGG
rnacentral:lncRNA from 1 species